rnacentral:rRNA from 1 species
GCGUAAGGGCCUUGAGAGAGGGAGCCCUGAGAUGGACUCUGAGACAUGAGUCCAGGCCCUACGGGGCGCAGCAGUUGCGAAAACUUCACACUGGGGGAAACCCCGAUGAGGGAAUUCCAAGUGCCAGCACAUUGUGUUGGCUGUUCUUUGGUCUAAAAAACCAGAGAAGUAAGGGCCGGGUAAGACGGGUGCCAGCCGCCGCGGUAAUACCCGCGGCCCAAGUGGUGGUCGAUAUUAUUGAGCCUAAAACGUCCGUAGCCGGUCUUGUAAAUCCUUGGGUAAAUCGACCAGCUUAACUGUUCGAAGUCCGGGGAGACUGCAAGACUUGGGAUCGGGAGAGGUCAGAGGUACUUCUGGGGUAGGGGUAAAAUCCUGUAAUCCUAGAAGGACCACCGGUGGCGAAGGCGUCUGACUAGAACGAAUCCGACGGUGAGGGACGAAGCCCUGGGGCGCAAACGGGAUUAGAUACCCCGGUAGUCCAGGGUGUAAACGCUGCGGGCUUGGUGUUGGGGGUCCUUUGAGGGCGCCCAGUGCCGGAGAGAAGUUGUUAAGCCUGCUGCUUGGGGAGUACGUCCGCAAGGAUGAAACU